AUUUGAAAACAAAAGUUCAAUUUGUUAACAUCGUUUGAAUAACAUUAAGAAAUUUUUUGGUGUCAAAUAAAAUAAAAUUUCUGAUAAUUAUAUUGUCUAAUUACAAGUCGGAAAUAAUUUUUUUGGGAGGAACUGGGAGCGUGCAUCUCCCAUUCCCCCCAAUAAUUUUUUAUUUGAGAACUUACGCGAAAGAGCCAAGAAAUAGCUUCUCCAGAAUACCAAAUUAUGAAUUUCUGAGGAAUUUGGCGCACCAUGACGAGUGGUUGUUGCCGUAAGUUUUCCUGUUGACCAUAUCGUAUAUUCCACAAAGUGGAAUUCAUUGACCAUUCGUUAUACAUACAGACAACCCUACAAAAACUAUUCUAAGAUAUAAUUCUACAUGAAUUUUCUCUUAAUUCUCGUUUUAUUAUUUUAAUUGAAAUUUUAUCUGUAGAAAUGUUGGUUAAAAAAUGUCUUUAAAUGAAAUAUUCUGCUUGUUAAUCUGAAAACAAUUUCCAAAAAAUAGUAUUUAAUUACAAAUUAUUUGAAUUACAUUAGCAAUGUAAUGAAAAAAAAUAAAGGACUCGGAAACUCAAUUUUAAAAGCCCGAAACGAUCAGCCAGAUUAA